CAAAGCUUUGGGGUUUGCGUGUCUUUUCUGAAUCGGUAGCCAGAUACUUUGAGGCUCAUCCGUCAUUCAAGAAUGGAGAAGUUGCAGCUUCAAAGGUACAUUCCACCCUCCUGGGCUGAGAACCUGAAAAAUAUACCGAAAUACAAGAUUAAUGUAAGU